UACAGGUACAGUCAUUCCAAUAAUUCUCCUGAGCAAAACGUGUCUGUUUUUUUGUUUUUUCCAAGCCGAAAGUGGAGACUAACUCCGUUCACGGAAUGAAUCUGUGGCAGACACCCAUGGUCAUGGAAUCUAAUGUCACAACUCGCUCUCUCUCUCUCUCUCUCUCUCUCAAGCAGACACGAUCAUGAAUCAUAUAGAGAAUUAAUGUUGUUAGAAUUAUCUUAAAGCAUACAGAUACAUGGUCCUACACUGUCAGAUCAGAUUAACUCCGAACAGUUAGUGCGGCCUGUUCGGUAUGACUGUCAUUUGAAACGAAACUCGUGACCUUGGUUAGCAGCCCACGAGGAUAAGGGAAGGGGAUUCAUGACUUCAAGCUCGGCUCGACUAUACGAUAAACCCCUCGGAUUGCUCAAUGUUGUGAUAAUACAAACAGCCUUGGUGGAUGGGAUCUUUUUAUUCCAAUAAUAAAGGGCAAGGCUGAUAAAAAAUGGCACUCCUUCUACCACCCCUACCAGGAAAGUAGUCAGGCAAGUUGUCAAGGUACUGAUUUUCCCGCUCGGUUUCCAGACAAUUCUCUUGAUAAAUUCCAUAACCUCCUUCGUCUUAUGUUCUCCCUUGAUUUCUGGCACGCCCGAAUCCUCAUUUUUCUUUCCAGCUUUAAACCGCAGGAACAACACUACCAAGAUAAGAAUAGAGGUUACGAGCCCAGCUAUUUCUGUGUGAUUGCUCACCUUGUCGAGCUGAACUGGUAAUCGCCUGCUCUUGCUGGCCUUGCUUAUCAUCUCACCCAAUGUUGUGUUUAGUCCCAUGGAUGUCACCAACAUGUUACCCUGCCCCUCAAUCACCUUGGAACCAUAGAAAAGAAAUGGAUUAUGUUUAUUAACAAUGGAUGGAAAGCUGUCAUCCAAUUUUAAGUAUUCGCCAGAUACAAACAAACCAUCACCAGGAAUAGGGCAUCCCCAUUCCAAGGAUACUAUGUCUCCAAUCACAAGAUCUAAGGCUCGUACUUUCAACUGUUUUCCUCCUCUUAAAACAUUGACUUCCAUCUCUCUUUUUCUCCGUUGUCUCUGCUCUCCUAACAGGUUCUCUGAAUUUUCACCCAGAAAAUCACGCACUGCUGGAACGAUCACAAGUAUGAUGAUUGCAAGAAUUAUGAGGACUCCCUCAUACCAACCAGUCCUCGGGCCCUCCUCCGUGAUCCCGAAGCCAAGGGACAGCGCUGCUGAUACGAUGAGAAGGAAGAUGGUGUGCCUAUUGCUGGAUUUCAUGAGCAACUCCAAGAAGUUUCUUGCUGCAGGGACUGUUGUUUUGUAGAUUGCAUUGGUUCUGCGUCGACUUAGAUCUGCAAUCUCUCCAGUGAUUCCAUUCUCUAAAUCUGUCUCAAAAGCCUCUGCAAUACCUCGGACGCCACCAAAUGCAUGCAAGGAAUCUAGGUCCCGUCCCUUUACUAUAUUGGCAAUGUUUUCAUGUUGUAGUUUGAUAUCGCUCGUAGCAUUGCCGACCUCAUCAUUGUGAGUGGCAUCAAGAGAAACUUGAUGCGUUGGUGAGAUUUCUUCAAUUUCAGCAACCACCAAAUUCUGUAGAAAAAAAAGUUAUUUAGCUGUGAAGGUAUAUUCUUACGAUCAAGUCAGUUCUAAUUUUGGUUUUGGUUGCCAAACGUAGGUUCUAGCAACUCAAACAAGUAUUAUGUGUUUGAUAAUGCUUUUAGAAACAGUAGUAUAGAGAUGGAACAAUGGCAUAACCAAGGAAAACACAUACCCUGUGAGAUGGAGAUGACAGCAAGACUCUUGGAGAAUCAAGAGUCUCCUUCUUAUCGUUGUAGGCUUUGGAGAAGAAAACGUGCCCUGCUCGUAGAACCAAGAUAGCAGACCGCAAAACAUUCCUUGGCGCUGGAAUUGGUGGCCCUAGCAGUCCUACCUCUAGAGAUUCGGGGUCCAUCUCCCGACUUGUUUCGCUGCUACUUGUCAUUUCUUUUAGCUCGAUUCUUCCUUCCCAGAAGGAAAGUAACGAUUAUAGUAUCAAGAAGAAGAAGAAGGGAUUUUUCAAUACAAGCUGUGGUAUAGAUGAUGAACUCAAGGGGGGUGAGUGUGUGUGUGUGUGUGUGUGUUUGUAUAAAUAGAGAGGGAGAUGGAAGAAAGAAGUCAGGCAAAUAGGGUGGGUGAUUGUGUCUGAAAUAGCAAGUAUGGCUGAAUGAGAAGAGUGUCGACGAAGCUGCUGUGUUCAGAGGAGGAAGCUGUACUGUAAUUUACUUUCCCGGUUUCCAUUUCUUUUUGGUGGCUGAUGAUGUGCAUGAAAUCAAUUGCUAAAGCCUACAAGUUGUCGUUUCUACUUUGACAUGUCUUCUUCUUUCCAAGUAAGUACAGGGAAAGAGACAUGAGAGCAUGCAUGCAAUAUUUAGGUCAUUAAAGACACUGUCCCACUCGAUACGUCCUCUUAAUUUUCACACUAUGUUUUUUCUC